rnacentral:pre_miRNA from 1 species
AAUAAACCAAUUUUUCACUUUUUACAUACAAUUUUUGACUCUUUGUCCUAUUUAAUUUUUUUUGCGAUUAAUAUUUUUGUUUUUAUUAGAUGAUAAAUCAUAAAUAGUACUUUACGUGAGACUAAUUUUUUUCUAAUUUCCUAAAAGUUUUUAAAAUAAGACGGAUGGUCAAACGUUGGACACGGAAACUGAAG